rnacentral:rRNA from 1 species
CAAUAGCGUAUAUUAUUGAUGUUGCAGUUGAAACGUUCGUAGUCGAACUUUGCCCGCUUAAGUAUUGCUCCAUCGAUGAUGGUACAGUACUAUCAGCGGGGAGUGUGCAAUGUUGUAGGUGAUUCACCUUCAGCCUCUUGCACCUUACUUUGAGUGAAUCGGCGUGUUCCACGCAGGCGUGUGCCUUAAACGAUUUACCACAGCAUAACCAGAGUAUGGGGGUAUCUCCUUGUGAGUACGGAGACACUUUCGAUACUGAAAAGAACGGUUGAGGGCAUUCGUAUUCAACUGCUAGAGGUGAAAUUCUUUGAUUAGUUGAGGACGAACCAUUGCGAAAGCAUCUGCCAAGGACGUUUCUUUUGA